UUAAGCGACUAAGCGUACACGGUGGAUGCCCUGGCAGUCAGAGGCGAUGAAGGACGUGCUAAUCUGCGAAAAGCGUCGGUAAGGUGAUAUGAACCGUUAUAGCCGGCGAUGUCCGAAUGGGGAAACCCAGUGCAAUUCGUUGCACUAUCGUUAACUGAAUACAUAGGUUAACGAGGCGAACCGGGGGAACUGAAACAUCUAAGUACCCCGAGGAAAAGAAAUCAACCGAGAUUCCCCCAGUAGCGGCGAGCGAACGGGGAGCAGCCCAGAGUCUGAAUCAGCUUGUGUGUUAGUGGAACGGUCUGGAAAGUCCGACGGUACAGGGUGAUAGUCCCGUACACCAAAAUGCACAGGCUGUGAACUCGAAGAGUAGGGCGGGACACGUGGUAUCCUGUCUGAAUAUGGGGGGACCAUCCUCCAAGGCUAAAUACUCCUGACUGACCGAUAGUGAACCAGUACCGUGAGGGAAAGGCGAAAAGAACCCCGGCGAGGGGAGUGAAAAAGAACCUGAAACCGUGUACGUACAAGCAGUGGGAGCACCUUCGGGUGUGACUGCGUACCUUUUGUAUAAUGGGUCAGCGACUUAUAUUCUGUAGCAAGGUUAACCGUAUAGGGGAGCCGCAGGGAAACCGAGUCUUAACUGGGCGUUAAGUUGCAGGGUAUAGACCCGAAACCCGGUGAUCUAGCCAUGGGCAGGUUGAAGGUUGGGUAACACUAACUGGAGGACCGAACCGACUAAUGUUGAAAAAUUAGCGGAUGACUUGUGGCUGGGGGUGAAAGGCCAAUCAAACCGGGAGAUAGCUGGUUCUCCCCGAAAGCUAUUUAGGUAGCGCCUCGUGAAUUCAUCUUCGGGGGUAGAGCACUGUUUCGGCUAGGGGGUCAUCCCGACUUACCAACCCGAUGCAAACUACGAAUACCGAAGAAUGUUAUCACGGGAGACACACGGCGGGUGCUAACGUCCGUCGUGAAGAGGGAAACAACCCAGACCGCCAGCUAAGGUCCCAAAGUCAUGGUUAAGUGGGAAACGAUGUGGGAAGGCACAGACAGCCAGGAUGUUGGCUUAGAAGCAGCCAUCAUUUAAAGAAAGCGUAAUAGCUCACUGGUCGAGUCGGCCUGCGCGGAAGAUGUAACGGGGCUAAACCAUGCACCGAAGCUGCGGCAGCGACACUAUGUGUUGUUGGGUAGGGGAGCGUUCUGUAAGCCUGCGAAGGUGGCCUGUGAGGGUUGCUGGAGGUAUCAGAAGUGCGAAUGCUGACAUAAGUAACGAUAAAGCGGGUGAAAAGCCCGCUCGCCGGAAGACCAAGGGUUCCUGUCCAACGUUAAUCGGGGCAGGGUGAGUCGACCCCUAAGGCGAGGCCGAAAGGCGUAGUCGAUGGGAAACAGGUUAAUAUUCCUGUACUUGGUGUUACUGCGAAGGGGGGACGGAGAAGGCUAUGUUAGCCGGGCGACGGUUGUCCCGGUUUAAGCAUGUAGGCUGGUUGUCCAGGCAAAUCCGGAUAAUCAAGGCUGAGGUGUGAUGACGAGGCACUACGGUGCUGAAGUAACAAAUGCCCUGCUUCCAGGAAAAGCCUCUAAGCAUCAGGUAACAUUAAAUCGUACCCCAAACCGACACAGGUGGUCAGGUAGAGAAUACCAAGGCGCUUGAGAGAACUCGGGUGAAGGAACUAGGCAAAAUGGUGCCGUAACUUCGGGAGAAGGCACGCUGGUGUGUAGGUGAAGUCCCUGCGGAUGGAGCUGAGACCAGUCGAAGAUACCAGCUGGCUGCAACUGUUUAUUAAAAACACAGCACUGUGCAAACACGAAAGUGGACGUAUACGGUGUGACGCCUGCCCGGUGCCGGAAGGUUAAUUGAUGGGGUUAUCCGUAAGGAGAAGCUCUUGAUCGAAGCCCCGGUAAACGGCGGCCGUAACUAUAACGGUCCUAAGGUAGCGAAAUUCCUUGUCGGGUAAGUUCCGACCUGCACGAAUGGCGUAAUGAUGGCCAGGCUGUCUCCACCCGAGACUCAGUGAAAUUGAACUCGCUGUGAAGAUGCAGUGUACCCGCGGCAAGACGGAAAGACCCCGUGAACCUUUACUAUAGCUUGACACUGAACAUUGAGCCUUGAUGUGUAGGAUAGGUGGGAGGCUUUGAAGCGUGGACGCCAGUCUGCGUGGAGCCAACCUUGAAAUACCACCCUUUAAUGUUUGAUGUUCUAACGUUGGCCCCUGACCGGGGUUGCGGACAGUGUCUGGUGGGUAGUUUGACUGGGGCGGUCUCCUCCCAAAGCGUAACGGAGGAGCACGAAGGUUAGCUAAUCCUGGUCGGACAUCAGGAGGUUAGUGCAAUGGCAUAAGCUAGCUUGACUGCGAGCGUGACGGCGCGAGCAGGUGCGAAAGCAGGUCAUAGUGAUCCGGUGGUUCUGAAUGGAAGGGCCAUCGCUCAACGGAUAAAAGGUACUCCGGGGAUAACAGGCUGAUACCGCCCAAGAGUUCAUAUCGACGGCGGUGUUUGGCACCUCGAUGUCGGCUCAUCACAUCCUGGGGCUGAAGUAGGUCCCAAGGGUAUGGCUGUUCGCCAUUUAAAGUGGUACGCGAGCUGGGUUUAGAACGUCGUGAGACAGUUCGGUCCCUAUCUGCCGUGGGCGCUGGAGAAUUGAGGGGGGCUGCUCCUAGUACGAGAGGACCGGAGUGGACGCAUCACUGGUGUUCGGGUUGUCAUGCCAAUGGCACUGCCCGGUAGCUAAAUGCGGAAGAGAUAAGUGCUGAAAGCAUCUAAGCACGAAACUUGCCCCGAGAUGAGUUCUCCCUGAGACUUUAAGUCUCCUGAAGGAACGUUAAAGACGAUGACGUUGAUAGGCCGGGUGUGUAAGCGCAGCGAUGCGUUGAGCUAACCGGUACUAAUGAACCGUGAGGCUUAACCUU
rnacentral:rRNA from 1 species